rnacentral:lncRNA from 1 species
CAAUUUAUCAAAGAUGGCUGUAAAGUUUCUUGCGGCGAAUGCACUGAAUGCUAUGACAUGUAUAGAAAUUGUCCUGACAUGAAACAUCUUUGUGGAGAGCUUGAUGCCAUUACAAAAGGAUGUAAAUUAACUUGUAGACUAUGCUAACUUACUAUGGAUAUGUCUAUUUGAUUAUUUACUCCUUAUUAUUAGAAUAUUUAAUUAUUCAUACUACAAUUUAUGUGUAAAUCAUUGUAAUUUAUAUGAGUAAUAUUUUCAAACUAUAUCCUUGAGCAAUGUUAAAAAUAAUAUGUACUAUGAAUCCGCCAUUUGAUGAACUUUUUAAUAUUAAGGCUUACAAUAAAGGAAUCUGCACAAA